rnacentral:misc_RNA from 1 species
UUUUUUUCUCCUCUGGCUCAAAGUGAUAGUAAGGAACCUAACUCAAGUGGAGAGAAAGGAAAUCUGCAAUUGUAUUAGAACAAAAGAUUACAUUAAUGAACUACACCAGCAAUGUCUCACUAUCCUCUCUAGUUCUCAAUACAAGUUUAUUCAAUUGAAACCAUCCAAGUCUCACAGAGAACUUGGCCCAGCAACUAUGCCGAAAUAGAAGAGCUAAGCCCUCCCUGCAGAAAGAAUUCUGCCCCCAAGCUAGUACUCUAGCUGCAAAUUACAAAAUCUUUUUCUCAUGCCUUCCACUCUACCCUUUCUCUUCUAUGUAUAAUCCUCCUAGCUGCUGCAUCACAUGCACCUGAGAAUUACUCCAACAGAAUUGAGAAGAGCUGGCCAACCAAUUGCAAUCCUUCCAG